AUUGGCAUCAGAAACAAGCUCUCUC
rnacentral:piRNA from 1 species